AAACAAUAAACAUAAAAAAGUCCCUUUUAAUUAUACAUUGACAUUUAGUUUGAUUUAUUAUAAUUAUAAAUUAUUACCAUUAGGUGGUAAUUGUCCUGCUGAAAGAGAUGGUCAUACAACUCAUUUAAUAUCAUUAAAAAAUGGAUUAUCUAUAUUUUUAUUUGGUGGUAGUAAUAAUAAUAUUUUUUAUAAUGACAUUUAUUUAUUAGAUAUGGAAACACGUAAAUGGUAUAAAAAAACAACGAAAGGGAAAAUUCCACUACCAAGAGACCAACAUUGUUCUGUAGUAUAUCCUGCAAAAAGUGAGCAUAUAAGAGCAGACAAAAUGCAUUUGACUGAAGGUAUUAUAAUUUUUGGAGGUAAAUGUUUAUAUAAUAAUAAUAUAGUAAAUUUAAAUGACAUGUGGAUGUAUCUAUUUCAGUAUAACAUGUGGAUACGUAUUAACUAUUUGGGUGAAGAAGCACCCAUAGGUAGAUAUGGUAUGAAUAUGGUAUGGUCAGAUGUUAACACUUUGUGUUUAUUUGGUGGUGAAUAUUUUUAUAUCAAUAAGACUUCAGCAGAGAGAAAAUUGUUAGAUGAUAUGUGGCUGUUCAAGUUGUGUAGUAUAGGGUUUAGUACCAAUGUAUCAGCGACUACGUAUACUACAUAUAAGGGAGGAAUAGGAGGAGAGCAUGUCAUCAUGUCUAGUAAUAAAGAGGAAGGAUAUCAUGCAAUAUAUGACUCUUGUGGAAAGUUACAAAAUGAGUAUGCUUCAUAUGUAAAAAAAAAUAAGAAAGUUGGUUUGAGUAAAGGACAGAAUUUGUAUAAUUGCUGUGUGAAUAAUGAUACUGAUAGUGGUGGUGGUGAUGGUGGUGGUGCUGGUGGUGGUGCUGGUGGUGGUGGUGGUGCUGGUACUGGUACUGGUACUGGUACGGGCUCAGGUUCAAGUCCAAGUCCAGGUCCAGGUCCAGGUCCAAGUCCAGGUCCAGGUCCAGGUCCAGGUCCAGGUCCAGGUCCAGGUCCAAGUCCAGGUUCAAGUGCAGAUGAGGUUGCUAUUACUGAUGUUGGUAUUGAUACUACUACUGUUAGCACUACUACCACUGCCAAUAACAAUGGUAAUAAUACGAAUGCCGUACAACAGUCGUCUGAUACAAACCUCAGCAACAACAGUAGUGGUAAUAGUAAAAGUGCCAGAACCGACACGAUUAGAAGCGGUGCGACUAGAAGCGGUGCGACUAGAAGCGGUGCGACUAGAACCGACACGACUAGAACCGACACGACUAGAACCGACACGAUUAGAACCGGCAUGACUAGAACCGGUACGAACAAAACCGGUACGACUAAAACCGGUACGACUAAAACCGGUACGAUUAAAACCGGUACGACUAAAACUGACACAACAAAUAACAACAAUACAAUUAAUACAAUAAAAAUUACAGGGGAAUGGGCAAGAGAAAAAUAUACAGGAGGCAUAGGAUGCCGAUCUAACUACUGUAGUCUGUUUAUCACACAAAGACAUCAAGAUUCGAAAGGAUGUGAGCCAAGAACUGUUGAAAAAUUAAUGCUUUUAUGUAAUGGUAUAACCUACUCAUAUAAAGAUAACAUAUUACGAAUUGUAUCUACAGAUGAGAUUUUUGUUUAUUUUUUUUCACAAAAGAAAUGGUUUUUAUUAAGAGGUAAAUUAUUUAAUGAAGAGUUUAUAUUUAAUGCGAGACAAAGACAUGUAGGUUGUUUUUUUGAAUCAAAAAAUGUUUUAGGUAAAUCUAAUAAAAGUCCAGUCCCAUGUAUAUUUAUUCACG
rnacentral:lncRNA from 1 species